GCGAGCCGAAUACAUUGAAAGGUGUACGUUCGGUUCUGAGGGAGGGCUAUAUAAAUCUACCUAUAAGGAAAGGCGAUAUAGUUCUACCCUAC
rfam:Clostridium homopropionicum DSM 5847 CLHOM_contig000030, whole genome shotgun sequence.